GACGAACGCUGGCGGCGUGCUUAACACAUGCCAGUCGAACGGAAAGGCCCUGCUUGCAGGGUACUCGAGUGGCGAACGGGUGAGUAACACGUGGGUGAUCUGCCCUGCACUUCGGGAUAAGCUUGGGAAACUGGGUCUAAUACCGGAUAGGAGCCAUCUUUAGUGUGGUGGUUGGAAAGUUUUUUCGGUGUAGGAUGAGCUCGCGGCCUAUCAGCUUGUUGGUGGGGUAAUGGCCUACCAAGGCGGCGACGGGUAGCCGGCCUGAGAGGGUGUACGGCCACAUUGGGACUGAGAUACGGCCCAGACUCCUACGGGAGGCAGCAGUGGGGAAUAUUGCACAAUGGGCGCAAGCCUGAUGCAGCGACGCCGCGUGGGGGAUGAAGGCCUUCGGGUUGUAAACUCCUUUCGCUAGGGACGAAGCUUUUUGUGACGGUACCUAGAGAAGAAGCACCGGCUAACUACGUG
rnacentral:rRNA from 1 species